GACACGGUGCCAGAGUGGUUAAUGGGUGAGACUUGAAUUCAAAGAAUUUAUGCCAUCUCAUGACUUCGGUCGCCUAGGUUCGAUCCCUAGCCGUGUCG